CUCUCGCACUAGCGCCCCGCACCUGUGGCGCCCCUGCUCCGCCCAGUCCCGCGGCCUCCUCGCCCCUAGUCCCCGGCGCUCCCCGCCCCUUCCCGUGGGAUCCGCCCCUCCGCCAGCCCCGCUGGCUUCCCCUCUCCGCCACCCCGGACUCAGAACCUCCCCUCCCCCGCCGGGGCCUGGGCGCGCCUGCCCUUCGCUCCCCGACCUCCUGCUGCAGCUCUGGGCCCCUCGGCCGCUCCCUCCCCUCCUCCCUUGCUCACCCCACGGUUGGCCGCGGAUCUCCAGCACGCCGCCCCAGUCCUCGGCGUCCCGCAGCGCCUGCCAGGGUCGCCGAGCCUCCCCUGCCUCCUGGCCGCCUCUGCAGUGCCGUCCUCCCGGGGCUGGCUCUCUCCCCAGGCCCCCGCUUUGGCCACCCAGGCACUUUCCGCCCUGAGCGUGGCAGCUGCUGCCGGGGGUCCUGGGACCGCGGGAUGGGAACUCCCACGCAGCGUCCCACAGGCUCCUGGCCGCCGCGAGCCCGCGCGACUCGCACGAGCAUGUCCACCCGCAGCGAGGGGCCGGUCACUGCUACGGAGCCCGCCAGAAGGCAAAGCCCCAGACAGCAAAUAGGGAGGCGGCUGGCACCCAGGGAGGCCGAGGCGGGAGGAUCGCUGGAGCCCAGGAGUUCGAGACCUGCCUUGGCAACAUACUCCCUCCAGCGUGCCAAAUGCUGCUAAUGGACAGCCGCUCCUGCCGCUCUGAUGUUGCUAGACCUCCUCAGCACUCAGCCCAAGGCAGCCAGGAAGAAUGAACGAAUGGUGAUUCAGAGGGAAAGGAGGAAGCUGCGUGGCAUUUCAGAGAUACUUAUUUUAAAACUGCUGGUGGCCAUGUCUUCUUUUCAUAUCAGAGCUAAUGAGUUUUGAUAUGUGAACAUUUCUUCUCCUUCAUAGACGAGGUGGGGCCCCAGCAGCUCUGGUCCUCCUGACAUCCUAGAGAAGAGCCAGCCCUUCCCUCCUGGGGUCUACACCGUCCCCUAAGGGACCUCAGACUGGGCUGAUGGAAGGUCUCAAGCAGGCCAUGUGAAGGGCACUGCACAGGAAACACAGAAACGGGAAUCCUAUAAGGUCAGCAGAGCUCUGAGCCCUUUGUUCUUGGGCCUGUUUUUAUGAUCCUCCCUCUACAUGUAGCUCACACUUCCCUGCUUCUGUGCAGGCACCAGGUGAGGGGGUUGUCAUGGCCUCCUGCCACUCUUGAGGCUGUCAGAUAUUACCUGUGCUGUCCCUGCAUUCUCAAGCUCCAAAUUGUCAACUAAGAAAUGGUCACUUAAAAAGAGAAAAGUGAGGCCGGGCACGCUGGCUCAUGCCUGUAAUCCCAGCACUUUGGGAGGCCAAGGCAGGCGGAUCACCUGAGGUCAGGAGUUGGAGACCAGCCUGGCCAACAUGGUGAAACCGUGUCUCCACUAAAAAUACAAAAAUCAUCCAGGAGUGGUGGCGGGCACGUGUAAUCCCAACUUACUUGGGAGGCUGAGGCAGGAGAAUUGCUUGAACCUAGGAGGCAGAGGUUGCAGUGAGUCAAGAUCAUACCACUGUACUCCAGCCAUGGCGACAGAGCAAGACUCCGUCUCAAAAAAAAAAAAGGAUUUCUGAAAUGGACGAAGUUUUUUUCCACUGGCGGUGCCAUCAGUGAUCGUGUCUGUUCCACUGUGAAGUCGGUCGUGAGCUCUGUGACGUUUCCCUCUCAACUCAAGGCUUUUUUCUUCCGCUUAUGGGUGUAGUCCAAAUGGUUGGGAUGAAAAUCGUUUCACAGAUAAAGAAAUCUACAAGCCCAAUCGUGGUGUAAGAAAAAAACUUUAAAACUCUGUCGUUCAGAAGGAAAUCAGGAAUAAGAAUUUCUCCUUUGAGACUAAAAGAAAGUCAGCUUUAGCCAGUGCAUUGGGGUGCUGGCUCGAUGUGGUAAACAAAGCAAAACAUUGUUUUUAAAUAUCCAAAACAUUAUUUUUAAAUAUAAAGAAAUACAUUUUUCUCCUCUCAACAAUGAAGUCAUAGUUUUUUUGGGGGGCGGGGGGUGGGUGGGUGGGUGCACAGGAUUUACUGUUUUGUUUGUUUUUUUAACCCAAAGAGAAGGAAAAUACUUUCCUUACUCCUGAAAAUGGUGAGUUUGUACAUUGUCCUUUUAUAUGGAUCAAUGUCAUUUAAGCAACUACAGACAGAUAAGUGAAGAUGAAUCUCAUCCAUCAGAGGCUGGGCUAUCAGGCACCAGGACCAGGGGCUUUUCUUUUAAUAAGGGAAACCUCUGCUAUCUUUGGAUUCCUCAAAGCCUGGAAUCUAGAGCUGGAUGACAGGCUUGCUUUGGAGAGAAUUUCUUGAGACAACUUCAAAGUGGCAGGUUUUGUUGAAGAAAAAGCUCUUCAUGGGGUAGUUGGGAACAUGGUUAGUCCCUCUGUGGGGACCAGGAGGAGCGGAGAGGGGAAAGGGAGGGAGAGGGAGAGAACAAACUCUCUGCUGUCACUCUAAGAGCGCCAAUCCCAUCAUGGGCCAGACCCUCAUCGCCUUAUGAAGCCUGAUCACUUCCCAAAGGCCCCGCCUCCUGGUACUAUCACUCAGCAGUCCCCAACCUUUUUUGGCACCAGGAACUGGUUUUGUGGAAGACAAUUUUUCCAUGGACUGGGUUGCAGGGAUGGUUUCGGGAUGAUUCAAGCGCAUUACAUUUAUUGUGCACUUUAUUAUUAUUACACUCUAACGUAUAAUGAAAUAAUUAUACAGCUCACCAUAAUGUAGAAUCAGUGGGAGCCCUGAACUUGUUUUCCUGCAACUAGACGGUCCCAUCUGGUGGUGAUGGAAGACGAUGACACCCGAAGUGUGUUGCUAAUGUCCAGUCUGCUCUGUAAUCUCGUUUUGGUCGAUGAUAUUGCAGAAAACUCUGCUUCACAAACACAGGAUAUUGGAAAUGGAAGUGGGCUUUUCAGUGCUUUGGGAACAAUCACAGGAGAUUCUGCCUUGGCUGUAAUCCAGAACGUAUGGAGAUUUGAAGUUGUCGCAAACAUACUUUGAAGGCCACCAGAUGCAGCUGUACAAUUGAAGUCCAUCAGCUCACUUGCCUCAAUAAAGCCUGCCACUGCAUGCAGCUUGUCACUUGCCACUCACAGAUAGGGUUUUGAUAUGACUCUGCAAGCAAUUGAUUUAUGAUGGUCUCUGUGCUGUCAAACCUCUCUGCUAAUGUUCAUCUGUAUUUGCAGCCACUCCCAAGUGCUAGCAUCGCCGCCUCAGCUCCACUUCAGGUCAUCAGGCAUUAGUUAGAUUCUCAUAAGGAGUGUGCAACCCAGAUUCCUCACAUGCGCAGUUCACAAUAGAGUGCGCUGCUAUGAGAACUAAUGCCACUGCUGAUCUGACAGGAGGCAGAGCUCAGGCGGUCAUGCUCACCCACCCACCUGCUGCUCCCCUCCUGCUGUGCGGCCCAGUUACUAACAGUCCAUGGACAGGUACUGGUCCGUGGCCCAGGGACUGGGGGCCCCUUCUGUCACCCAACCAAACUGGGUCCACUUGCCCUCAAGGAACGGAAGCCAAACACCGAAGCACCAAGUUUUUGCAAUAGGAAGGCUUUAUUGCCAGUUGAGUGACAUGGAGACCGGAGGAAAUGUUCCUAUCUGUCUUCCCACUGGCCUUGCCACCAUAGAUGUAAGAGACAGAUUUUGAGGGUGGGGUUUCGGGGCGGGACGAAGAUUGGCUGGAAGGAAGGGGCUUUGUUGAGUCCCUCGGUCACUCACUGUCGCCCUACCUGCUGCUUCAUGGGUUGCAUGUUUAAAAACAAUGUUGGCAUUAGCAUGACCUGGAAGUGGGGUUUUGGGCCCUCUGACAUCAAAAGGUGGCUCGUGGGUGAGUCAGUGCACUCUGCAGACUCUAGUCAGCCAUGUUGGCUCCAACUGGUCCCUCCUGGCAGCCCACUUAGUUGCAAAUAGAGGGGAUUGUAGCAAAUUGUCGUCUUCUCCACUGUCCUGCAAAAUGAGCUCAAGAAAUUUUGCUGGUUAACAAAUCCUGUCUAAUCCUAGGGCAGGUUUCAGUACCAUCCUGUUAGGGAUUGGGGCUUCAACAUAUGAAUUUGGGGGGUACACUUCAGCCCAUGGCAAGCUGGAUACUUGUGCUCCCUUCAUCAAGAUGAGAAUGUGAACACACAGAGGCAAAGCGGCCCAUACGAGGUCACAGUGAGAGAGGGUGCCGUGGAGUCAGAACGCACAGCAGGGACCCAGCCCCUAGGUUCCGUCUCUGAGCCCCAGGUCCCAUGCUGAGCUGCAGGAGUCACUGUGUGCCUCUGCUUUGUGCUUUGUGACCACACGUCAUGGCCAGGCUGGGGUUUUCCACCCUUUGUGCGUUAUUCCCAUCUUAGUUUGAGGUCAGAGGCCUGCAGGACUUAUUUCCUGGUCCCCACGGGAUGAAGGAGGAAACCCGUGGGAACUAGCACAUGGCCCUAAAAGCAACCUCUCCUUGCCCUCAUUGUCCAUUAGCACAAGACACUCCCAUCAGCACCAUGACAGUUUACAAAUGCUGUGGAAGUUGCUGCCUUUUCCUUAGAGAUUUCCAAAUAACCUGCCCCUAAUGUGCAUGUCAUUAGAAGUCAGUAUAAGUGGCUGUGAGUGCAGCUGCCUCAGCCCAUAUGCUGCUGACUCCGGGUGCACUGCUGAGGAGUCAGCCCUGGCCCAGUUCAGGAAAAGUGGCUGCAUAAUGCCACCAGCUGGCCCUUGCAUUCUUUCCUGGGUGAAGCCAAGAACCCUCAGGGGCUAAGCCCCACUGUGAGAGCUCACCUGCCACCUGCAUCCAGUGAAUAGGGCGCCAUUUCCAGGUUUCCCCCCAGUGCUGCAGCAAACAUCCCUGUAGGCCGCAACUCACACGCUUGCUUGCAUUUUUUUUUUUUUCUGUGAGAUAAAUCUUCAGCAGCAGGAUUGCUGAGCUGGGUCUAAAGGCUUUCAAAGUUUUAUUUUCAAUUUUUUUUUUCUCAAUUGUCUGUAAGAGGGCAGAACCACUUUACUCUCUUCCAGUGGCAGAUGAGAAUGUGCUUCUUAACACCUGCCCAGCCCCAGGGAUUAUCCCUCAUUUUAGUCUUGGCCAAUCUGAGACAAUCCAUGAAGGGAACUGAUGACUCGCUGUCUUCCAGACAUUUCUUCGGUGGUGGUGAAGUUGAGUAUGUCUUUAUGCUUAUUGGCCAUUGUUCUUCCAGGAACUGUCAGUUACUGAGCUCUGACCUUAGAUUUGUCAUCUUCUAAAAACUGAUCUGCAAGAGCUCUUUGUAUCUUAAGAGAACUACUUUUACUAUUAAUGCGUGACAAAAUAUUCUCCCCAUUGACUUGAUGUGCUAUCCAUAAGUAUAGUCAUGAACCACAUAACCACAUUUUGGUCAACAACAGAUCGUAUAUAACAGUGGUCCCAUAAAAUUAUAAUAUCACAUUUUUACUGUACCUUUUCUAUGUUUACAUGCACAAAUACUCAUGGCUGUGUUACAGCUGCCUACUGUAUCCAGCACAGUGCCAUGCUGUACACGUAUGUAGCCUAGGAGCUGCAGGCUACACCAUAUAGCCUAGGUGUGUCGGAGGCUGGACCAUCUAGGCUUGUGUAAGUGCCCUCUGUGAUGUUCUCAUAACAAUGAAAUCAUCUAACAACGCAUUUCUUCGACUGUGUCCCUGUUGUUAAGUGAAACAUGACUAUUGCUUUUUGUUUAAAGUCAGUAAAGAGGCACAGUUUACACUUUACUUACCCAUAUAUAUGUAUGGGUGUAUAUAUGUAUGUAUUUUUUGCGACAGGGUCUUGCUCUGUCACCCAGGCUGGAGUACAGUGGCAUGAUCUUGGGUCACUCCAGCAUCCACCUCCCUGGCUCAAGCGAUCCUUCCACCUCAGCCUCCUGAGUGGAUGGAACCACAGGCGUGCACUGCCGUGCCUACUUUUUAAAAAAUUUUUUGUAGAGACAGGGUCUUGCCAUGUUGCCCAGGCUGGUCUCCAACUUCUAGACUCAAGCAAUCUGCUCACCUCAGCUUACCAAUGUGCUGAGAUUACAGGCAUGAGCCACUGCACCUGGCCUAUGUGUAUUUAUUUUUAUUGUCAUAUUUAUCUGUUUUUUUUUCAUGACUUGUGAUUUUGUGGCAUGUUUAGAAAGGCUUUUCUUGUUUCAGGAUUAUAAAAAUAGUCACCUAUACUCUCCUCUAGCAUUUUUAUUAUUUCACUUUUCAGAUUUAAAUUUUUGUUUCAUCCAGAAUUAAUUUUGGUCAAAGAGUUCAAUAGGGCUACAAUUUAUUUUUCCCUGAAGAGGCGGGACAGCUGUCCCAAUAUAAUUCACUAAAGAGCCCAUCUUUCCUCUGCCAAUCUGCAAUGCCAACUUUACUACAAUGUCUGCAACUUAAUCUCAAAUGGUAGAGCAACAAACAUAUUUAGAGUGUGUGUGUGUUGAAAUUAAAUCAAAUGUGGAGAAAUGUUAGCAUAGCAAUUAUUGAAUCAAGAUAGUACAUUUGGCCUUCAUUACCCACGGGUUCUGUAUCUAUCUGCCCAUUCAACCAACUGCAGAUUGAAAAUACUCUGGAAAAAAAUUUUUUAAAUACAAUAAUAAAAAAUAAUGCAAAUAAAAACCAAUAUAACAACUAUUUCAUAGCAUUUACAUGGUAUUAGAUAUUACAAGAAAACUAGAAAUGAUUUAAAGUAUAUAGGAUGGUGCGUGGAGGUUACAUGCAAAUACUGUACCAUUUUAUCAAGGAUUUGAGUCUUUUCAGAUUUUGUUAUCUUUGGGGGUCCCGGAGCCAAUCCCCUACAAAUACUGCGGGACGAUUGUAUGUAGAAGAUCAUUACACCAUCCAGUUUCCAGUUUUGUUUUCACAGUAAAAUUGUGUUUAGGCCAGGCGCGGUGGCUGACGCCUGUAAUCCCAGCACUCUGGGAGGCCGAAUCACCUGAGGUCAGGAGUUCGACAACAGCCUGGCCAACAUGGUGAAACUCCGUCUCUACUAAAAAUACAAAAAAAAAAAAAAAAUUAGCCGGAUGUGGUGGCACAUGCCUGUAGUCCCAGCUACUUGGGAGGCUGAGACAAGAGAAUCACUUGAAUCCGGGAGGCGGGGGGUUGGCAGUGAGCCAAGAUCGCACUGUUGCACUCCAGCCUGGGCAACAGAGCGAGACUCUGUCUCUAUUAAAAAAAAAAAUGUGUUUAAAAGUCUAAAAGAAAAGGAGCGUUAGAAUGGAGAUAGAGUCUCCACUUUCAAAAUGGAUGGUUGAGCAAAAGUUCCUUUCCUGCAGAAAAGGCCUGGACGGGUGUGGCCAGGACGAGCUGAGACCCGAUGAGAAAGGCAGAAGGGCGUCAGGCAGGGCUUGCACUGCAGGAAGCUGCUCUGGCUGUCCCUGAGUAGAGAAGAGAGUUGUGAUGUGUGGACAACAACAAGACAACAAGAGCUGUUGGGGGCCUCCAGCUCCAGCUUGAAUGACUGUUUCUAUUGAUGUGGAGCAGAAACCUGUGGGAGCCGCUGGCCCCUGUGGACAAGGGCGGUGAAUGGGCCGGCGGGAGCGGGCAGCUGACUUAUGGCGAGGUGGUGGGUCUGGGGUAGGCUGCGGCCUUAGGGUUGGUGGUGACCGUGUACCAAGGCACACGGCUGGCUUCCCUCUCACCUGCAAUAGCUGGGCCACGGCUCACUGCCCUUCUUCCUCCUGUCACACCAGUCACACUGAGAGAGGGCCCUGCACGUGGUGACAGCAUGGGCUGAACCGGUUCCAUUUGCCCAAGCACCAGGGACACUCCUUUACCUCCUCAGGAAGGCUCAGCUGUAGAGGAACAGAAGGAAGAUCCGAAGAUAAUAAGAAGGAGGAAAAGUUGGAAGAAGGGCAGGAGUGCAGAGUGGGCCCUCCAGGGAGGGAGGGGGCGAGCGAGCAGCCAGCCCUGCCCGAAUCCCCCACCCACACCCUGGCCCCGUCCCAGCAGAACUGGUGACACUUUUCUUCCCAGUGCCUUUCAAAUUUCCAGAGCAGCUCAGAAUUGCUCAGUAGAUAACAGGUUUGGGGUUUUUAUCCUUUUCUUCCUAAUGACCAGGCUCCUGAGAACAGGAGCAGCUGCCAUCUGUAGGGUAUUCAUCAUCCUCCUGCAACGGGGAAAUGAGUCAUUUUAGCAUAAAAUGUAGAACUGCCAUGAAAUUCAAAUUGCAGUACUUUGACAAGAAUUAUAAUGUUUGCAGAAAGUCUCAUCUAGGAGGCUGAAGUGGUCCUGCGGGAAGCCCCCCCAGUCACCUGAGAGAAACAGCUGCAGUCGCCAGCAGGAUCUGACCACCUCGCCCAGGGUGGACAGGACUGAGGCCACCUCUUAAUUUUUCCACCCUUUUUGUUCCUGGACAUUAAAUAAGACAGAGAAAGCAGGAAGGUGGGGAGAGAGCACCCCUGCAAAUAAGAGUCAUCAUCCAAGAGAGUAUCAACCAAGUAGGCAGAAUUCUUGCCAAUUUAGUUGACUAUGCAUGGGAAGGGAAGUUUCUAGGGCCUUCUGGAAACAGAAUAUUUUCUUAAAGGGGCCACCAAUGAUACCCUUUGGUCAUUCCAAAAUGACCUCUCUGGGCCUGACGCCCCUGUGAGACGUGAAGCCAGCUGGACUUCCUGGGUCGAGUGGGGACUUGGAGAACUUUUCUGUCUUAUAAGAGGAUUGUAAGACUCACCAAUCAGCACUCUGUAGCUAGGAUUGUAAAACACACCAAUCACCUCUCUGUAGCUAGCAAGAGGAUUACAAAAUGCACCAAUCAGUGCUCUGUAAAAUGCACCAAUCAGCACUCUGUAAAAUGCAGCAAUCAGUGCUCUGUAAAAUGCACCAAUCAGCAGGAUCCCAAAAGUAGCCAAUCGCAGGGAGGAUUGAAAAAAGGGCACUCUGAUAGGACAGAAACAGAACAUGGGAGGGGACAAAUAAGGGAAUAAAAGCUGGCCCGGUCUUCAGCACUUAGCCAGCCAGCAGCAGCAACCUGUAGGGUUCUUUUCUAUACUUUGGAAGCUUAUUUUUUUGCUCUUCACAAUAAAUCUUUCUACUGGUCCCUGUUUGGGUCUGUGCCACCUUUAAGAGCUGUAAUACUCACCGGGAAGGUCCACGGCUUCAUUUUUGGUCAGCGAAACGAAGAACCCAAUGGCAGCAAUCAACUCCAGACACAUCUGGUCAGUCUUGUUCUAGAUCCAGGGAAAGCAAUGCCCUAACGGCAGGAGGGAAUAACCCUUCCAGCUGAUAGCAGUUGUUCAAAUAGUAGCAAAGGCACAUAGGAAGUGUGUUGCCAAGCUGCAGUCUGACAAUUGCUCCAAACACGAAUUUUGCUUCUAAGACCCUGUAAGCUGUGGGUUGUACUCAAAAGCUGUAAGUUCUUUGUGCAAAGGCUGGAGAAGGCAGCGAGCGGGCCACGUACCUGUCUUUUCGCAGAGUGUGAGAAACGAGACUGUUCUCUUUACGUGGCAGGACAGUUCAGAGUCUCUAUACCCAGAGCAACCAGAACGAGCUCCCCUUGGAGUCAUGGACCCAGUAUCUCAGUUGAGCAAAUGGUAAUUUUCACCAAGGCUGGCUGGCAUUGGGUGACUUUAGUGGCCUGUGCACACGAGCGCCCCAGGCCCUUGGGCAGCUGCCAGUGUGGGCUGGGGCUUCCUUGUCGGGAGGGAGCCACCCUGCACCUGUGGGUGAGUUUUGUCUCCUGGCAGCCUGGCAGGCAGGUGUGGCUCAUGGCAGGGUGAGCCACUGGCACGGAUCUGCUGCUUUCCCCAGGUGAGAGUUUCUAUGUGCCCAAAGGUCACCAGAAACUGACAGCCAGCCCUGAGCAAACCCCAGCCCAGGGUUCAUGUUGCCCGAGCAGAACCUGCUGGUGUGGUCUGCAGGCGGGGGCGUUUUUCUUGGUUGGCUAACACUCCUUGGAAGGAGGCAUGGGCCAGGCCAGUGUGCUUAGCAGUACCCCAGAGCAGUGUUGGGGGCGGGAGCUCAAGUGUGGGGUCAGUGUGCUCGCACCAGAGCCAAACCCAACACUUCCUGUCUCUUCCUUUCCUGCUGUCAGGU
rnacentral:lncRNA from 1 species